rnacentral:tRNA from 1 species
AGAAAGGUAAGCUAAAUAUAAGCUAGUAGGUUCAUACCCUAUUUAUAGAGAACACCUCUCCUCUCUA